GAUGAACGCUGGCGGCGUGCCUCAUGCAUGCAAGUCGAACGGGAACACUUUGAGUAGCAAUACUUGGGGUGUUCUAGUGGCGAUCGGGUGAGUAACACGUAGGUGACCUACCCCAAAGAGGGGGAUAACGGCCCGAAAGGGCUGCUAAUACCCCAUGUGAUUGACGAUUCAUUUCGUUAAUGAAAGCUUCCGCAAGGAGUGUGCUUUGGGAGGGGCCUGCGGCGGAUUAGAUUGUUGGUGGGGUAAUGGCCUACCAAGUCGAUGAUCCGUAGCUAGUCUGAGAGGACGAUUAGCCACACUGGCACUGACACACGGGCCAGACUCCUACGGGAGGCAGCAGCAGGGAAUAUUGCACAAUGGGCAAAGCCUGAUGCAGCAACGCCGCGUGAGGGAUGAAGGUCUU
rnacentral:rRNA from 1 species